UACGUAGGGAGCAAGCGUUGUCCGGAUUUAUUGGGCGUAAAGAGCGUGUAGGCGGCCAUUCAGGUCAGCUGUGAAAACUCGAGGCUCAACCUCGAGACGUCGGUUGAAACCGUUUGGCUAGAGUCCGGAAGAGGAGAGUGGAAUUCCCGGUGUAGCGGUGAAAUGCGCAGAUAUCGGGAAGAACACCCGUGGCGAAGGCGGCUCUCUGGGACGGUACUGACGCUGAGACGCGAAAGCGUGGGGAGCGAACAGG
rnacentral:rRNA from 1 species